GAAACAUAAAACUUGAGAUGAAUUUAGUUAUGGUCUUAUGGAUUAACAAAUCAAAUGGCAUACAUGCAUAAGUUCAGUACUCAUUUUUUCACCCAUUUUGGUAUUCAGUAUCGGCUCGUCUUAUGAUCAUCCCUACAAAAACAAUAGGACUACACAUAUAAGUUGCAAACAAUUCAUUUAGGAUUUUUUAUUUCAAAAACCUGGUUACUUGGUUGAUUGAAUCAUGAUACUAAAAUAUUUAACAUUGACAAUUCGUUAAUGUUAAAUCUCAAAAAGAAUCAAACCUUAAAAAAAAUGAAAUCGUAGCAACAAUUUUGAAAAAAAAAAAAAAAAAAAAAUAGACCUUAUGCCGAGAGAGAAAUCAGAUUGAUCAAAAGUAAAUGAAAUCAAACUGACUGGCACAUUUGACCAGGAAUCAGGAUUCCUGAUCGCGCUAAUUUAAAGAAUCAGAGUAAAAGAAAUCAUGCAACCCAUUUAUUUCGGACCAAAAAAUGAAACAAUAAGAAAGAAUGAGAAAUGAAACCUAAAAUCAAAGGCAAAAGAUUGAAUUCGCACUUGUUCUCGAUGAAGGAUGUGCACAGUUAAGAAAUAGAUAAACGUAUUUGUUGAAGAUGAAAAAGCCAAGAGCAAAAUUGUUUUUUCUUUCUUUCCCAUCUAAUUAUCCCAAUUUUUGGAGAAUGGUUUGAGGACUCCAAAACGCAACUUUUCC
rnacentral:lncRNA from 1 species